CAGUCCUCUUCCCCUCUUCGACACGUCAAUGCCGAUUUCUCGCAGAUGCUUCCACGUCAACCUCAACUGAGUUCUCUUCUUCUACCUACUCCAUUCAAGCCUAUUGUACUCCUUUUCUUUCCAUUUCCAACCUAUUGUAUUUCUUUUAAUUUCCCUUCAGUUUGAGAUUUUUCAAGGUACUCUUUUUUUAGGGUUUUUUUAAGGUAGUAAAUUUUAAGAACGGAAAUCGGAAGGAAGAAGCUGAGAAGCGGCCAGCAAAGGAGAUAAGACCGUGAGAAGGAGAUGACGCAUCACUUUAAUUGAUGCUUCCACGCCAACCUCAACUGAGUUCUCUUCUUCUACCUACUCCAUUGCAACCUAAUGUACCGCUUUUCUUGCUAUCUCCAACCUAUUGUACUUCUUUUAAUUUCCCUUCAGUUUGAGGUUUUUCAAGGUACUCUUAUUUUUUAGGGUUUUUUUAAGGUUGUAAAUUUUAAGAACGGAAACCGGAAGGAAGAAGCUGAGAAGCGACCAGCAAUGGAGAUAAGACCGUGAGAAGGAGAUGACGUAUCAGUUUAAUUGCAAAAUCAAGUGGCGGCUUUCACCGAACACGAACACCGCUUCUCAUGGUGGUUCUACAACCAUUACCGGUGUUCCUCUUCUUGUAUUUGUUGGUGUAAACAAACUAAGGAGGCGACUUUAUCGAAGAGCCCUUCUAAUAAUCGCGGGGCAGCAGACUUAGCCUCUUGAAGCGUUCUUUUAGCUGAUUACAGAUCGGAUCCAGUCGGGAAUAAUCGGGUUCGCAAUGUUGAUGAGAGUGCUAAGGAUGUCCUUUUGAGCUGAGAUUGUGGAAGCUUAUAGUUUGUAUUAGGAAUUUGUUUAAUGUAUAUUAGUUCCGAUUAGUUCUGAUUAUGUUGAUUAUAAUGGACUCGUAGUGAGUGGUAUGGUUACUUUAUGUUUAGAUUAGAUAUUUGGUUUGAGAUUUAGCUGUGUUGGUUUCGUAAUAGAGUUGGUGAUUCCUUUGCCCAGGUUUUGGGAUAUGAUUUAAGUUUCUUGGGAAAUAAUCCCCGUGACGACCCUGUUUACCCAGUCAACGGUAAGUCGGGUUGUUACAUCAAUACUCCCCCUCAAGUUAGGUCGUGGGAUCACCGAUGCCUAACUUGCAUAAAGUGCUAUUGAAGACCUGUGAUGAAACUGCUUUUGUGAGAAUGUCUGCUAGUUGGUCUUUAGAUCUAAUAAAGGGGAGAUGGAUGACCUUGCUUUCUAGUUUCUCCUUGAUAAAGUGUCGAUCGAUCUCUACAUGUUUCGUUCGAUCAUGUUGGACUGGAUUUUCGGAGAUGCUUAUUGCUGCUUUGUUAUCACAAUAUAGAAGGCUUGCCUGUGUCUGGUGAAAACCUAGCUCUCCUAGGAGUUUCCUAAUCCAUAGAAUCUCUGUAACUCCUUUUGCUAUCCCUCUGAAUUCUGCUUCAGCACUGGACAAAGCAACCACCUUCUUUUUCUUACUCUUCCAAGUGACUAGAUUACCCCUACAAGAGUGAAGUAUCCUGAAGUAGACUUCCUGUCAUCCCGAUCACCAGCCGAAUCUGCAUCUGUGUAACCAGUAAAAUCAAGAUUAUCAUUUUUUGAGUAGAAGACUCCUUUAUUACUGGUUCCCUUUAAGUAUCUCAGGAUCCUCAGGGCUGCUGCCAUGUGCUCCACUUAAGGUCGAUGCAUAAACUUGCUUACAAUCCCUACUGCGUAGGCAAUAUCUAGUCUCGUGUGGGAUAAGUAGAUCAGCUUUCCCACUAUCCGUCUAUAGCGAUCUUGAUCUGCCACUUCUGCCUCUUCAACAAUUUGUAGACCAUGAUUAGCUACCAUAGGAGUAUCUGCUGGCUUGCAGUCUAACAUGCCUAUUUCUGCUAAGAGAUCUAAGACGUACUUUCUCUGGUUGAUGAAUAUCCCCUUCCUUGAUCUUAGAACUUCUAUUCCUAGGAAGUAUUUCAGUUGUCCCAAAUCCUUCAUCUCAAAUUCUUGGAAUAAUUUGCUCCUGAGACGGUCAAUUUCCUUGGAGUCGUUUCCGGCAACCACCAAAUCAUCUACAUAAAUCACGAGGCAUGUAAUUUGUUUUCCACUCCGCCUGAGAAAUAGAUUAUGGUAUGAGUUGCUCAGUUUGUAGCCAAAUCUCUUCAUUGCUAUAGUGAAUCUCCCAAACCACGCUCUAGGGGACUGUUUCAAGCCGUAUAGUGCUCUUUUAAGUCGGCACCCCUCUC